GUACCAGUAGCUCAGUGGAUAGAGCAAUGGCCUCCGGAGCCGUGUGCGCAGGUUCGAUUCCUGUCUGGUACA
rnacentral:tRNA from 1 species